rnacentral:rRNA from 1 species
UUCUCCCUGAUACUUUAAGUAUCCUAAAGGGUUGUCGUAGACUACGACGUUGAUAGGCAGGGUGUGUAAGCGUUGUGAGGCGUUGAGCUAACCUGUACUAAUUGCCCGUGAGGCUUAACCAUACAACACCCAAGGGGUUU